rfam:Oryza glumipatula chromosome 10, whole genome shotgun sequence.
AAAAAAAGCAAACACUGAGUUUUCGUGUCCAACUUUGACUGUCCGUCUUAUAUGAAAUUUUUUUAUAAUUCGUAUUUUUAUUGUUGUUAGAUGAUAAAACAUGAUUAAUAUUUUAUGCGUGACUUGUCUUUUUAAUUUUUUUCAUAAUUUUUUUAAAUAAGACGGACGGUUAAAUGUUAGGCACGGAAACCAGGGUUUGUCUUUUU